rnacentral:lncRNA from 9 species
UACUAUUGUGAUUGACUUUUGUUUUUAUAAAAUAUUCAGAGAUGUUUGGGAAUAUGUUUUAUUUCCUCCUAGAAAUUAUUACAAGGCUCUGAUUUUUAGAAUGGAAUUUUAAUAGCAACCGUGGGCCAAAAAACUUAUUAAAUCCAUUAUAUUAAUCAAAUUCCUAGCGAUUUUAAGCCAUAUGUAACUCAUAAUUAAAAGUAUAUAAGCAGUAUUUCUGUUGAUUGAAUUCAUAAAUUUGAUGUUAAAGUUUUAUUUAAUAUUAUUAUUCUAGUUCUGUGAAAAAUGGCAUGGGUAAAUUGAUAGGGGCAUUGAAUCUGUAGAUUGCUUUGGGUAGUAUAGCUAUUUUUAUAAUAUUAAUUUUUCAAACCCAGAAAAAUGGACUAUCUUUCCAUUUCUUUACAUCUUCUUUAAUUUCCUUGAUUAAUGUUUUAUAGUUCUUGGCAUAUAAGUCCUUUACCUCCUUGGUCAGGUGUAUUCCCAGGUAUUUGUUUUGGGGUGCAAUUUUAAAAGGUAUUGUAUUUUUGUAUUCCUUUUCCAAUAUUUCAUUGUUAGUAUACAGAAAUGUGACUGAUUUCUGAAUGUUAAUCUUAUAUCCUGCUACUUUGUUGAAUUUGUUGAUCAGUUCAAGUAUUUUUGGCUUGAGUCCUUAGAGUUUUCUAUAUAGAGUAUGAUGCCAUCUGCAUAGAGUGACAGUUUUAUCUCUUCUCUUCCUAUUUGGAUGCCUUUUAUUUCUUUUGUUUGUCUAAUUGCUGUGGCUAGGACUUCCAGUACUAUUUUGAAUAACAGUGGUGAGAGUGGACAUCCUUGUCUUGUUCCAGAUUUUAGCAAGAAAGGCUUUCAGCUUUUCUCCACUGUGUAUUAUAUUUGCUGUGGGCUUGUCAUAAAUGUCUUUGAUUAUGUUAAGGUAUGUUCCCUCUAUACCCACUUUGGUAAGAGUUUUGAUCAUGAAUGGAUGUUGGACUCUGUCAAAUGCUUUUUCUGCAUCUAUUGAGAUGAUCACAUGGUUUUUGACUUUUCUUUUGUUAAUGUGAUGUGUGACGAUUGAUUUAUGUAUGUUGAACCAUCCUUGUGAACCUGGGAUGAAUCCCACCUGGUCAUGGUAUAUGAUCUUUUUGAUAUGCUGUUGGAUUCGGUUGGCUAAAAUUUUGUUGAGAAUUUUUGCGUCUAUAUUCAUCAAAGAUACUGGCCAAUAGUUUUUUUUUUUGGUUUUGUUUUUUUUUUUGGUGGUGUCUUUGGUUUUGGAAUUAGGUUGAUGGUGGCAUCAUAGGAUGUCUUUGGGAGUAUUCCUUCUUCUUCAACUUUUUGAAAAAGUUUAAGGAGGAUGGGCAUCAGAUUCUCUUUGUAUGUUUGGUGGAAUUCACCUUUGAAGCCAUCUGGCCCUGAGCUUUUGUUUGUAGCAUGUGUUUUUAUGAUGUAUUCAAUUUCAUUUCUAGUGAUCGGUCUGUUCAGUUGAUCUAUUUCUUCUUGAUUCAGUUUUGGCAGGCUGUAGUAUUCUAGAAAGUUGUCCAUUUCUUCCAGAUUUUCAAAUUUGUUGGCAUAUAUUUGUUCAUAGUAUUCUCUUUUUGUAUUUCAGCAGUAUCCAUUGUGAUUUCUCCUUUUUCAUUUCUUUGUCUUUUUUUUUUUUGUCUUUUGUCUUUUUGUUG